rnacentral:rRNA from 1 species
UACGUAGGGUGCGAGCGUUAAUCGGAAUUACUGGGCGUAAAGCGUGCGCAGGCGGCUUUGCAAGACAGAUGUGAAAUCCCCGGGCUCAACCUGGGAACUGCAUUUGUGACUGCAAGGCUAGAGUACGGCAGAGGGGGAUGGAAUUCCGCGUGUAGCAGUGAAAUGCGUAGAUAUGCGGAGGAACACCAAUGGCGAAGGCAAUCCCCUGGGCCUGAACUGACGCUCAUGCAUGAAAGCGUGGGGAGCAAACAGG